rnacentral:rRNA from 1 species
UGUUCCACUGUGACCUGUCCUUGAUCAGGUUUUUGCUAGAAAGCUUGUCCCCUGGAAUUGCUGAGCUGCGUGGAAGAUGCAGUCAGGUGGGGAGUUUGGCUGGGGCGGCACAUCUGUUAAAGGAUAACGCAGGUGUCCGAAGGUUAGCUCAAUGAGAACAGAAAUCUCAUGUGGAUCAAAAGGGGAAAUGCUUGCUUGAUUUUGCUUUUCAGUGUGACGACAAACUGUGCAAACAUGGCCUAUCGAUCCUUUAGGUCUGAAGGGUGUUCAGCUAGAGGUGUCAGAAAAGUUACCACAGGGAU